rnacentral:rRNA from 1 species
UACGGAGGAUGCGAGCGUUAUCCGGAUUUAUUGGGUUUAAAGGGAGCGCAGACUGGUCGUUAAGUCAGCUGUGAAAGUUUGGGGCUCAACCUUAAAAUUGCAGUUGAUACUGGCGUCCUUGAGUGCGGUUGAGGUGUGCGGAAUUCGUGGUGUAGCGGUGAAAUGCUUAGAUAUCACGAAGAACUCCGAUUGCGAAGGCAGCACACUAAGCCGUAACUGACGUUCAUGCUCGAAAGUGUGGGUAUCAAACAGG